AGAGUUUGAUCAUGGCUCAGAUUGAACGCUGGCGGCAGGCCUAACACAUGCAAGUCGAGCGGUAGCACAGAGAGCUUGCUCUCGGGUGACGAGCGGCGGACGGGUGAGUAAUGUCUGGGAAACUGCCUGAUGGAGGGGGAUAACUACUGGAAACGGUAGCUAAUACCGCAUAACGUCGCAAGACCAAAGUGGGGGACCUUCGGGCCUCAUGCCAUCAGAUGUGCCCAGAUGGGAUUAGCUAGUAGGUGGGGUAACGGCUCACCUAGGCGACGAUCCCUAGCUGGUCUGAGAGGAUGACCAGCCACACUGGAACUGAGACACGGUCCAGACUCCUACGGGAGGCAGCAGUGGGGAAUAUUGCACAAUGGGCGCAAGCCUGAUGCAGCGACGCCGCGUGCGGGAUGACGGCCUUCGGGUUGUAAACCGCUUUUGAUCGGGAGCAAGCCUUCGGGUGAGUGUACCUUUCGAAUAAGCACCGGCUAACUACGUGCCAGCAGCCGCGGUAAUACGUAGGGUGCAAGCGUUAUCCGGAAUUAUUGGGCGUAAAGGGCUCGUAGGCGGUUCGUCGCGUCCGGUGUGAAAGUCCAUCGCUUAACGGUGGAUCUGCGCCGGGUACGGGCGGGCUGGAGUGCGGUAGGGGAGACUGGAAUUCCCGGUGUAACGGUGGAAUGUGUAGAUAUCGGGAAGAACACCAAUGGCGAAGGCAGGUCUCUGGGCCGUUACUGACGCUGAGGAGCGAAAGCGUGGGGAGCGAACAGGAUUAGAUACCCUGGUAGUCCACGCCGUAAACGGUGGAUGCUGGAUGUGGGGCCCGUUCCACGGGUUCCGUGUCGGAGCUAACGCGUUAAGCAUCCCGCCUGGGGAGUACGGCCGCAAGGCUAAAACUCAAAGAAAUUGACGGGGGCCCGCACAAGCGGCGGAGCAUGCGGAUUAAUUCGAUGCAACGCGAAGAACCUUACCUGGGCUUGACAUGUUCCCGACAGCCGUAGAGAUAUGGCCUCCCUUCGGGGCGGGUUCACAGGUGGUGCAUGGUCGUCGUCAGCUCGUGUCGUGAGAUGUUGGGUUAAGUCCCGCAACGAGCGCAACCCUCGCCCUGUGUUGCCAGCACGUCAUGGUGGGAACUCACGGGGGACCGCCGGGGUCAACUCGGAGGAAGGUGGGGAUGACGUCAGAUCAUCAUGCCCCUUACGUCCAGGGCUUCACGCAUGCUACAAUGGCCGGUACAACGGGAUGCGACACGGCGACGUGGAGCGGAUCCCUGAAAACCGGUCUCAGUUCGGAUUGGAGUCUGCAACCCGACUCCAUGAAGGCGGAGUCGCUAGUAAUCGCGGAUCAGCAACGCCGCGGUGAAUGCGUUCCCGGGCCUUGUACACACCGCCCGUCAAGUCAUGAAAGUGGGUAGCACCCGAAGCCGGUGGCCUAACCCUUUGUGGAUGGAGCCGUCUAAGGUGAGACUCGUGAUUGGGACUAAGUCGUAACAAGGUAGCCGUACCGGAAGGUGCGGCUG
rnacentral:rRNA from 1 species